rnacentral:ncRNA from 2 species
CUCUUAUUAAGAGAGGUGGAGGGACUGGCCCGUUGAAGCCCAGCAACCAUCCUGAAUCUAAUCAGGAAAAGGUGCUAAAUCCUGCAGAACAGAUUGUUCUGAUAGAUGAGAG